AGAGUUUGAUCAUGGCUCAGAUUGAACGCUGGCGGCAUGCCUAACACAUGCAAGUCGAACGGUAGCAGUACUCGCUUGCGAGUAGCUGACGAGUGGCGGACGGGUGAGUAAAGCGUAGGGAUCUGCCUUUUAGAGAGGGACAACUCGUGGAAACGCGAGCUAAUACCGCAUGAAGCCUAAGGGUGAAAGCAGGGGACCGUAAAAGGCCUUGCGCUAAGAGAGGAACCUACGUCGGAUUAGCUAGUUGGUAGGGUAAAGGCCUACCAAGGCAACGAUCCGUAGCUGGUCUGAGAGGAUGGCCAGCCACACUGGGACUGAGUCACGGCCCAGACUCCUACGGGAGGCAGCAGUGGGGAAUAUUGGACAAUGGGGGGAACCCUGAUCCAGCAAUGCCGCGUGUGUGAAGAAGGCCUUCGGGUUGUAAAGCACUUUGGUUGGGGAGGAAGGGUUCAUUGUGAAUAGCGAUGAACAUGACGUACCCAAAGAAUAGCC
rnacentral:rRNA from 1 species